rnacentral:lncRNA from 10 species
CAACAAAUACUUUUUGGGCAAUGUGCAACUGAAGGCUCUGGAAACAAAUACAGCAGUGAACAAAGACAGCCAAAGUUCUUUUUCUUUUUUCUUUUUUUUUUUUUGUAGAGUCCAGGUAGGGAAGACAGCAGGUACAAGGACUCCAAGGUGGGUGGUAUGCUUGUAGUGAAUGUUUGAGGAAGAGUGAGAAGUCUGAGGUGGCUGG